GAUGAACGCUGGCGGCGUGCCUAAUACAUGCAAGUCGAGCGAACAGACGAGGAGCUUGCUCCUCUGACGUUAGCGGCGGACGGGUGAGUAACACGUGGAUAACCUACCUAUAAGACUGGGAUAACUUCGGGAAACCGGAGCUAAUACCGGAUAAUAUAUUGAACCGCAUGGUUCAAUAGUGAAAGACGGUUUUGCUGUCACUUAUAGAUUGAUCCGCGCCGCAUUAUCUAGUUGGUAAGGUAACGGCUUACCAAGGCGACGAUGCGUAGCCGACCUGAGAGGGUGAUCGGACAGACUGGAACUGAGACACGGUCCAGAAUCCUACGGGAGGCAGCAGUAGGGAAUCUUCCGAAAUGGGCGAAAGCCUGACGGAGCAACGCCGCGUGAGUGAUGAAGGUCUUCGGAUCGUAAAACUCUGUUAUUAGGGAAGAAAAAAUGUGUAAGUAACUAUGCACGUCUUGACGGUACCUAAUCAGAAAGCCACGGCUAACUACGUG
rnacentral:rRNA from 1 species